rnacentral:rRNA from 1 species
CUCUUGNNUCNNCNGAAUUCGGCAGAGAUGCCUUAGUGCCUUCGGGAACUGUGAGACAGGUGCUGCAUGGCUGUCGUCAGCUCGUGUUGUGAAAUGUUGGGUUAAGUCCCGCAACGAGCGCAACCCUUAUCCUUUGUUGCCAGCACGUAAUGGUGGGAACUCAAAGGAGACUGCCGGUGAUAAACCGGAGGAAGGUGGGGAUGACGUCAAGUCAUCAUGGCCCUUACGAGUAGGGCUACACACGUGCUACAAUGGCGUAUACAAAGAGAAGCGAACUCGCGAGAGCCAGCGGACCUCAUAAAGUACGUCGUAGUCCGGAUCGGAGUCUGCAACUCGACUCCGUGAAGUCGGAAUCGCUAGUAAUCGUAGAUCAGAAUGCUACGGUGAAUACGUUCCCGGG